rnacentral:rRNA from 1 species
CCUACGGGUGACAGCAGUGGGGAAUAUUGGACAAUGGGGGGAACCCUGAUCCAGCGACGCCGCGUGAGUGAAGAAGUAUUUCGGUAUGUAAAGCUCUAUCAGCAGGGAAGAAAGAAAUGACGGUACCUGACUAAGAAGCCCCGGCUAACUACGUGCCAGCAGCCGCGGUAAUCCGUAGGGGGCAAGCGUUAUCCGGAUUCACUGGGUGUAAAGGGAGCGUGGAGGGCGAUGCAAGUCUGUAGUGAAAGGCGGGGGCCCAACCUCCGGACUGCUUUGGAAACUGGAUGGCUGGAGUGCAGGGGAGGUAAGUGGAAUUCCUAGUGUAGCGGUGAAAUGCGUAGAUAUGAGGAAGAACACCAGUGGCGAAGGCGGUUUACUGGACUGUAACUGACGUUGAGGCUUGAAAGCGUGGGGAGCAAACAGGAUUAGAUACCCGUGUAGUC